ensembl:lincRNA
CUGAAUGAGAAACGCCGUCAUUUCUUCGAUGUGACGUCACUAGUUACUUGCGGUAAUCGACGUAUUCGCUGAUCACACGAUUUGAACGUUUUUUUUUUCUUUCUAAUCUCAAUCAAAUACGUAAACAGUACUGUACUAGAAAUUGUUGCGGAUUCCGAAAAUUGACCCAUUUCAGUAAAAUUAAUGAAUCGAUGGAUCCCGGAAGCGAAGCAGAUCCAGGUCAGGGUUUGUGUGUUCCAUGACCAAUCAGCUUGCUAUCGCUUGCCAAGCCAGCCGUUCCUUAUCAACCGUUUCUUGGAUUACUUGCUUGAGUGCUUAAGCCACUUGGCGAGCGCUCUACAAGCUGCUUGGUCAUGGAACACCCCGGUUAGUACCUGAUUGCGAGACCGCAUUGGAACAUCGAGUGUUGUCAGCAAUUCGAGGAAGUCCUGGAUGGAGGGAUACAAAGGGAAUGCUAUUUCUCCCUGGAACAAAUGCUUGAUUGCAUUCAACUUGCUUGUUUGGCUUCAAACAAACACUGCAACAACAAUUCUGAUCAUUAUUUUGUUUGUGGAAUAGAUGAAUGCCGCAGAGUCAAAUCGAAGUGUGAGAAGCCCAGGAACAAGGAUUUCACACCUGAGGAAAUUUGCGAGGAAGAUGAGUUUUCAAAAGUGGACACACAUUGUGUGAAGAACAGUCAUAAAUACCUGAAUGGUUUGCAAGAGUGCAAAACGAAAGGAUACCUGGAAGCAAAGAGGACCUGCUUUGACGCAGUCUAUAGAAAACGCAUUCAGAUUGAAGCCGUGAAACUCUUUGGGAAAGAGACCUGUCAUGGAGCAGUAGAUUGCACGCUGAACAAUUGUUUCAGUGAUGUACACGACUGCCUGAAGGAUUAUUACUUCAACUUUCCCUUGAAUCUAGCACAGCGCAGAACGUUUAACACCACCACCUGUGCCUUCAUUGCUGUGGAAUACGCGCAAGAUUGUGAAAUGUUCACUUCUCGCAAUUGCUCACUGGAGCUCAAGCAGUGCCACAUCGCGUGCAGCACCUCCUGGGUAAGCGUGAUGGUCCCUGUGUUCGUAAUCCUGAUAUCCGUCAGCCUCUUUAUCGCAGGAGGCCUGUUCUAUCUCUGUUCCUACUCAACUCAGCAAAGACGGCACGCAGCCAUGUACCAGUUUGAAUAACCGUCUUCCCUGACCAUUGCUCUUUUCAAGGCUUUAUGAAAGCAACUAUAACGGUGAUGUGAUACAAUGGAAAAAAAUUGAAGGGGGGUGGGGGGGGGUUAUUUUAAUAUCACCAAGAACAUUUACACUGGAGGGAGCGGGGGGGGGAGCAUGUGUGUGCAUCACAUAGGAGUGGGGGGGCAUGUGUGUGCAUCACAUGUACAUAUAUUUGCAUUCAAUUACGUGAUGUGUGGUUGCUUAGAUUUUAACCACAGUCGUUCAAAUUUAUUUUGAACACACAAAGUAUUGUUUUACCGUAGAUAUAGGGCAAGCACUCCUCCUUUGGGAUGUACACUCCUUUUGGGUACUUAUAUGCAGACGAGGUAUUGUUUUGUUUUUUUUAAUUUGUGUCCUUGUUCGCUUUGUUUCCACAUUUAGCGAUAAAAUAAUUAUUCAUUCUUAAUGUGAACUUCAAUCUUCGGUUGUAUUUGACCUUGCUGUUUGGUCACACCACCGUGUCAGGUCGACACGUAUAAGAAAGGAAGUAGAAUCUGUAACUUUGCUCACGUCUACCUUAUGGUAGUGAAGUUCGAUGACAUCAUGAUGGACCCACAUAGGGAAGAAGAGGGAGUGAUCGUGGAAGAGGCUAAUAAUCACGUGAGAGCAUGAAGGAAAUCACGAUGCGGUGAGGGACCUUCGUCGUAUUGAAGAUCCGACUGAAACGCGAUGUGACGACAUUCCAUCAAACGUGACGCGACACCAUUGUAUAAGCUUGUCUGCACUGUAACGGUGACCUGUUUGGUGUUGCCAUCUCAGCCGACUGCUCGUGAUGCUGUGACCCCAGGUCCAAAUCUCAUACUGUGUUGACCUGUCUGAUGUCCUUGUCCUACAAAAAGGGGUGGGAGUUUGGAGGAGACUAAUUGAGAAAUAGAAAAUGGGGAAUGGGGAAUGAGGAAUGAUAGUCGAGGAGGAAGGAGAGAAGAAACACAGACAGGGAAUCUGGGUGAAUGGGGGUGGAUGUUGGGAGGGGGGAGUUUGAAAUUUUGCAGACGUAAUAUGUAGAUGCUCCCUCAUCUUUCAUACAAGCCCCAUCAACUGUAAAACUGAUGACGCAUAAUUUUGGGAAUCAUCAAAAAUAUCAAAGCCACAAUUAAGCAAUCUUUUUGUUAAACAACCUUCAGCACCUGUAAACCUGCAAUGAAAGUUUGACAUUUUCAAAAAAAGAAACAGUUUGAAAAAAAUGAAAUGGAAGUAUCAAAGCUGGUGUGGGAACCUCGACAUGGAAAGAUGGAGCUCAGGAGUAUCAGAAUGAGAUUGAGGGAAAAGAUGGAGAUCCGUUUUGGGUGGAAUAGGUGGCAAUAUUGUGACUUAUUUUUGUUGUUGUUUUUUAUCGGUUUGUAUUAGUUUGUAUUACUCCGAAUAAAAAGUUUUGUUUUCCAAGUACCAGUGUGUGAUUUGUACAUCUAUUCUGUCACCUUUAACCAUUUGCACCCUGCCC